rnacentral:misc_RNA from 1 species
CCGAGUUUCCAUUACUCAAACCCUUGCAAACAUACCUUAAUAUGCUUCGGUGCCUGGCCCCGGGGGGCACUAAAACAGUCACCGACAGUAUUCAAAAUCUCUGUCAUUGUAUUCUGAUUACAAAAAAAAACAAAACAAUCA